rnacentral:tRNA from 1 species
GGUUUGUGGCUCAGUGUUAGAGUGUUUGCCUAGCACAUGUGAGGGUCUGGGUUCAAUUCUCAGCACCA